AAAAAACGUAAUUUUUUGCCCUAUAUUUAUCAAAAUUAAAAAAAUGCACUAUUUACAGUUUUAUAAAAUUUGGUCCACAUAAUCUACCUGCAAAAUGAAACAAAAUGUCUUUUUAAAAAAGAGGGGUCCAUGAACUCGUUUUCAAGUAAAAUCAGUUUGAAUGAUAAAAACCAGUCGAAAACUGCAUCUUUUCCCGAUAAGUCACCGUUUGACAUCGCGAAAAUAACAUUUUACGUUAGCAACGUCAAUAUCUUCCCUGUAACUGUAUCGUAUGCCCUUAAGAGAACUGCAUGGUGAUUAUAUGCUUAUUUUUGCAACUUCCAUCCUUUUGUAUUGUACAUGUGCAAUUUCUUACUGUGAUACACAUUGGU
rnacentral:lncRNA from 1 species